CCAGAGAGUGAGGAUGAAGCAGCUGAAGAUAAGGAUGAUGAGGAGGACGAUGAGUCAGGCUCGGAGGUUGAGGAGGAUCUGUCAAAGAUCACAAUGUCUGAUGAAGAGGAUGAGGAAGAGGAAGAUGACGAUGAGCAGGCUGAGGGUGGUGGGACCUGGGAGAAGCAGAUGAGCAGGAAGGAUAAGCUCAUGGACAAGCAGUUCAUGAAAGACCCUAGCAAGAUCACGUGGGAUAUUGUCGACAAGAAGCUUAAAGAGAUUGUGGCAGCCAGGGGUAAAAAAGGAACAGGGAGGGUAGAGCAGGUUGAGCAGCUUAC
rnacentral:lncRNA from 1 species